GCUUCCUUGGUGUAGUUGGUUUAUCUCGUCGGUCUCAUAACCCGGUUUAUGACCCUCAUGGAGGGUGAUCCGAAAAAAUCCGAAGGUCGCCAGUUCGAUCCUGGCAGGGAGCA
rfam:Dacryopinax sp. DJM-731 SS1 chromosome Tnknown DACRYscaffold_5, whole genome shotgun sequence.